UAGGGAAUAUUGGACAAUGGGGGCAACCCUGAUCCAGCCAUGCCGCGUGAGUGAAGAAGGCCCUCGGGUUGUAAAGCUCUUUUGUCCGGAAAGAAAAGCAUUCGGUGAAUACACGGAUGUUCUGCCGGUUCCGGAAGAAUAAGCACCGGCUAACUUCGUGCCAGCAGCCGCGGUAAUAUGAAGGGUGCAAGCGUUACUCGGAAUUACUGGGCGUAACGCGGGCGUAGGUGGUUGUUGAAGUCUGAUGUGAAAGCCCUGGGCUCAACCGGGGAAUGGCAUUGGAAACUGGGCAGCUAGAGUGCGGUAGAGGGUAGUGGAAUUCCCGGUGUAGCAGUGAAAUGCGUAGAGAUCGGGAGGAACAUCGGUGGCGAAGGCGACUGCCUGGACCAGCACUGACACUGAGGCACGACAGCGUGGGGAGCAAACA
rnacentral:rRNA from 1 species